ensembl:lncRNA
GUAAAGGGAGGGACAGUUUAACAUGGUCUGAAAUAUACUGUGGGGUUUUUGUAUGACGGUUUUCUAGAGAAAGAGGAAGUACAGCUCACUUCUGAGAAUAAACAAGCUUGAUGACAGGAAUUCACAGUCUGAGACAGAAAAUCUGAUAAAUGGAAGAGGCGGAAAUACUUUAGUGCAGCAACCAUGUGUCAAAAUGUUUUAACUUAAUUACAGUUUUUUAUGUAGGGGCCCAUUCAUUGAGACUUUUGGUCUUUUAACUUGCUUCUCGUGGCGCCCCCUCGUGGCACUUUCCCACAUGACAGGCAAACACUUAAUACAAGAAAAUCUGUGUUAAAAGCUGAUUAGCGUUCAUGGGUGACACUUUUAAAUAUAAACAUCUACCAAUCAAAUAUGAGUCCUUAACGAAAAUAAAUCGUGUACUCGUAGGACCGUAUACGACUUUAUUUAUCCCACAAUGGGGAAAUUCUUUACAGCAGCAGCAUGACAAUUUACAAGACAAAAAAAAACAAAAGGAAACACAAACAGUAAUAAUUGUGCAGAAAAGAAACAACAACAGUAAUAGUUCUACUAAAAGUACUUGUACAUACAACAGUAAUAAAACGAGGCAUCAAUGUUGGCUGCAUGCAUUACAUAUUAACAGAGGCAAACAAUGUCGUAUGAAUGGUGGAGACUCAAACACUGCACAAUAGGAAAUAAUGCGGCUGAAUGUAAAUAUUGAUUUAAAAAAUUAAACGCGCUUCAGCGGGAGUCCGCCGUUUCUCUGCGGUCCAGAACUGUGCGUGGCGGCGUACCGCCGCUGCGUGGUGACGUCACAUUGAAGUAGAGGAGGAGCUAACACCCAACAUCCGGGUAACCAAUCCCAGCUGUCAUUGGGCGAACUGACCGACGUGGAGACGCGGAACCGCUGCGACCAAAGGUUUAAAAUGAGUUGACAUUAGCAGAAGACGGGCUUAGAGUCAACUUUCUGCCGCUUUAUGCUGAUUGGGAAGUUUAUUAUAAGAAGAAUGUGCUCCAUCGUCCCCCGUCAUGUGAUCUGGCAGUCAGACGGGCUGGUGGCCUACCUCCACCCCUGCCCUUGGACCCCUGGCUCUGUCAUCCUGGAGCGCAGCACGCCUGACAGCCCAGGAGGAAGCAUAUUCCACCUGCAGGAAGCAGAGCUUUUAUCGUGGCUUUGGGGUGCGAGAACAGUUGCAGAGCUGCUGUGUGACAGGUUGGGGGUCCGGAGGUGUGCUCUGGUCAGCAGACCCCACAGAGACCGACCCACACAGAUCCAAGUCCUCCCGCUUCAUGGCUUAGAUGCAGAGUGGCGCCCACACCUUGCAAGCGAAGAAGAGCAUAAUACCCAUGACCCGGGUUACUGCACCUCCAAGACGGCUCCCAAGUGGAGUGAGUCCAACCUGACUGAAAUACAGAACAAGAUUCGAGCCAGACUCCCUGCACCCAAUGCCCCUCCUAACCUGACUUUCCUUGGGGAUGACCCAGCUCACCCUGGCCUCUUCUCACGCAUAGUCCGUGGUGAAGAGCAGCAAUGGCGGGUGUGGGAGGACGAAGGUCAUGUGGCCUUCCUCACGCCUUUUCCCAACACUCCUGGCUUUACUGUACUGGUCCCACGGCGACCUUUGACCUCUGACAUCUUUAAAUUAGAAAAAGGGGACUAUGAAAGCCUAGUGCUGGCGACUCGGAAGGUGUCCCAGCUUCUUGAGAAGGGUUUGGGUGCCUGGGCUGUGGGGCUUAUAUUUGAGGGUUUUGAGAUUGAUUAUGCUCAUGCCAAGUUGAUACCGCUCAUUCUGCCUUCAUCUACACUUUUAGCUGGCACUAAGAAACAACAAUUUAAUCAGUUUCACACCACUUACCCAGGAUAUGUGACCUCAGAAGACGGACCUGAAGCCAGUUUGGAAAAUCUACAGGAGAUUCACAACAAAAUUACUGGGCUUUAAAAUUAACAGCUAACGUUUGAGCUGCAUCAGAUUUAUGCUCUUCCUUAGAAAUGACUGACCAUAAUAUUGAAAUAAAACCUAAAAAAAAAUUCUGCUCA